rnacentral:rRNA from 1 species
UGCCAGCCGCCGCGGUAACACGGGGGGCGCAAGCGUUAUUCGGAAUUAUUGGGCGUAAAGGGCGCGCAGGCGGUCUUGUCCGUCAGGUGUGAAAGCUCGGGGCUCAACCCCGGAAGUGCUUCUCAUACUGCCAAGCUAGAGGAUGGGAGAGGAAGACGGAAUUCCCGGUGUAGCGGUGAAAUGCGUAGAGAUCGGGAGGAACACCAGUGGCGAAGGCGGUUUUCUGGACCAUUACUGACGCUGAGGCGCGAAAGCGUGGGGAGCGAACAGGAUUAGAUA